AGUUUUUGCUACCAAUGCUUGUUCCUACAUCCUAUUGGAUGUAUCUGCACACACGACAGCCUCGCAGGCUUUAUACAAUUUGUUUAACCAAAGAACACAUUGUCAACUUAAGAAAAUCCCUUGAAUUUCUUAGGGUUGUAAACAUAUUAAAAUCAAAGAUUUAAAAUUAUCUGCAGUUUUUGCGAUGUUUUGAAGCCUUUUGUCGUCAUUAAGUUAUGCUCGCCGGAUGAUAACGCAUCGACAUAGAAAAAAGGUCAUGAAGAAGGCACGAAUUCUGUAAGUGUUGGCUGUAUUGUUAUUCCUAUUUAUUGGUUACUUAGCAACGUUGUCAAAGUGUAAUAUAUGGCGCCAGUAGGUUGUUCAUUGAAUAAUAUUGGAGAAGAUGCGAAGGGGUGUGAUCGUGCCCUAAUCUGAGCGUCCAGUAGGUUAAAAGAAACAAGAGGUGUAGUCAUCACGAUCUAUUCAAGCGAUCUGGAGAACCUUACGAGAAUUUGAAACCUGAUGAUAUGCAUUCCUUUCGGUUAUGUUACCUUGUGGCAAUGUAAGUGGCGAGACAUAUCGCGUUUCGGGCGAAUCUGCUGUCUUCAUUUUAUAUCCUGAAUCCUGGAAAAGAAGAAUAGUUAUAAUUUAAUAUGGGGUAUUCUUAAAAAUGUGAUAUUAGUGUAAUAAAAUAAAAAAUGAUGAGAUGAACAAGACAUACAGCAUAUGUUAGUGAAGGGAAAACAGUAGUUGGGUGUUCCACGCGUGGGAGUGAAAAAUUGUAACUUGUGCGACAGCCGAUAGACGGUGGGCUGACACCGUCAAAUGUUUUUCUGAAUACUUCUUACCAGGCAUACGCAUGCGCAUCCUUCCUCUCUAUUACAUCAUCCGCUGCCUACUUCUUUCCUGACAGUUCAAAACCACAACUGUGCAGGAUUCCUUCGAGAAAAUAUCAUGUGGAAAUUUUGUUUGGUUUCGUUUUCUGAGUACUUUCUUGCGCCCGGGGAUGUCCUGUGACAUUCAUCACCCGAAGCGACGUUUACCAGGUAAUUUACAAAGACUGUAUUCCAUCCUCCUGUCUCCUGCCUCUCUCUAAACUUGCACUGCAGGCCCAUCGUAACUCGCUUCUCAAACGCUACGCGCAAGUGGCAGCACAUUUACGUAUGGUAACUGUUUAUUCUGUGACUGCCACGGACAUAAGUAACUACAAAUAAAGAAUUGCCAUAGAAAACCGCCAUGUUCUGUACGACGUCUGAUUGCUACCAUUUGAACCCGGCCCGAACCCCGACAUUGACAAUGCUUCGAGACCCAGGCCCAGACAAAUGUCUAAAAUAUGGACCUACAAAUUUGCCUGCCGUCUCAUUAAGCGCGCUGUGGAUAAGUGAACAGUGAUGGGAAGGACAUUACUUAAAAACAGCAGGUACAGGACAAUAUUGAAGAAAUGGAAAGAACUGGUUUAUGAGAGAUCAAAUGAAGGUUCUGACGGAAAAGAACUGGACACUGCAAAACGAGCAUAGAUGCUCUAUUAGACGCUACUAAGAACAUGAAGCAAAUGCAAUAUAUGUUUUUGAUACCUCACAAAAAUAAAAGACAAAAGCAUUAUAUUAAAACUGCUAGUCCGUCAAAAGUUGGUGUCAAAGUCGAAAUAUUUGAGGACAGAAACAAAUUAAAAUUACACUAAAAAAAUAAUUAAAAACAUGUUAAAUUCGCAGAAU